GACGAACGCUGGCGGCGUGCUUAACACAUGCAAGUCGAACGGAAAGGCCCUGCUUUUGUGGGGUGCUCGAGUGGCGAACGGGUGAGUAACACGUGAGUAACCUGCCCUUGACUUUGGGAUAACUUCAGGAAACUGGGGCUAAUACCGGAUAGGAGCUCCUGCUGCAUGGUGGGUGUUGGAAAGUUUCGGCGGUUGGGGAUGGACUCGCGGCUUAUCAGCUUGUUGGUGGGGUAGUGGCUUACCAAGGCUUUGACGGGUAGCCGGCCUGAGAGGGUGACCGGCAACAUUGGGACUGAGAUACGGCCCAGACUCCUACGGGAGGCAGCAGUGGGGAAUAUUGCACAAUGGGCGGAAGCCUGAUGCAGCAACGCCGCGUGCGGGAUGACGGCCUUCGGGUUGUAAACCGCUUUCGCCUGUGACGAAGCGUGAGUGACGGUAAUGUGUAAAGAAGCACCGGCUAACUACGUG
rnacentral:rRNA from 1 species